GUGACGUCACCUGGGCCGACGCCGCAGGACUUGGCGAGGGAAACGGCUGCGGCGUAAUAUUGGGUGGUAACCCGAGAAAUAGCCCACUGCCGCCGGGGCCCGCUGUGGCCCGGCACAAGGACUGCUUCCGCAUGUUUCGCGGCGCAGACUUACCCCCGGUUCCCGGCUGCGGCUUCCAGCGCUGGAGGCCGGAAGGACUCGCUGGUGGGCGGAGCGGAAUCCGGAAGUGCGGGUUGGCAACAUUCAACCCGAAACCCUGAGUGAGUGAUGGGAAGAGACACCCGGCCAACCCACAACGGACAUGUAUCGGAAGUAGAAAAUAAACCUUGGAUGUUUGAAUUA